rnacentral:lncRNA from 1 species
AAAAAAAAAAAAAAAAAAUCAAAGCCAUUACAUAUAGUAUGAAUGCAAAAAAACGAAAUAAAUUGCGAACGAAGCUGAAGCGCAAAAAAAUAGGUUUCAAAGAAUUUUCCUAUAUUUCUUAUAAAAAAGAAAUACGUAAAUUAUAUGCAAAAGAAAAAUAUACAACACCACUACCUUUGCAGAACGAACAUAGUAAUAAAUCAUUUAAAAAUGAUGAUAUAAAUACAGAUGAGUCUGUAAAUGACAUUUUCCCAAAAAAUGUUGACAAUAAAUAUUCUAUGAAUUUGAUUACAGACCAUAUGUUAGAUUUUGGUAAUGUUACGGAUAUAAAAGAGGAAGAAAUGGAAGAACAUGAUAAGAGUGAUGGUGCUUUAAGCACAAGAGAAGAUGAUGAUAACUUAGAUGAAAGUAAUAUAUUUAGUUUUUUAAACAAAAGUCAUGACCAUAACAGUAUAGACAUAGCUAGUAAUAGUAAUAAUAAAAAAGAAUAUAGUGUAAACAAAUAUGUAUUAAGUAAUAAUGGAUUAACACCAAGCUCAGGAAAAAAUAAAAGUGUAACAUCUAGGAAGUUGGAAAUUGUCAACGAAAAUGAGACAAUCGGAUUAGAUAAAAAAUAUGAGAACCAAAAAAAAAAAAUGAUAAAUGAAUUGUUACACAUUAUAAUUACGAAAAAAAAAAUAACAAAAUUGUUAAAAGACCAACUGGAAGAUACCAAUAACAAUUUUAAUUACUAUGCUAGUAGCAGUAUGAUAAAAUAUAUCGUCCGAAAGGUCGAACGUGGUGUAUAUUUUCCGGAAUUAGAAGCACUGACAAUACAUAAUGUUGAUUUUAACAAUUUGGAAAUAACAAUAGUUAAUUCUAAAAGGAUUGAAAGGUUAAAACAGUAUAUUUUUUCUUCAGAUAGGUUAGCAACUAUUGAACGUGCUAUCAUAAAAAUAUAUAAAGACAAUACAAUUCGUUUAAAAUAUGCGAGAAUGUAUAAUGGACUUAAAAUAACAGAAAAAGAAUUCCUCGUUUGUUUGUUAAUUGUAUGUAAUUAUAUAUUACUGAAGGAACAAAAUAUAACAACACGUAAAUAUAAAAAAAUAAAAGGAAUUUAUGGAUUUGUCAAAAAAAAGUUAUAUAAACCGGAAAAUGAGGGGGAACUAGAAGAUAGUAAAGACAAAAAGGAACAUAAAUAUGAUAAAAAAGGAAAAAAACAAGAAGAUGAUGAUGAUGAUGAUGAUGAUGAUAAAAAAAGAAAAAAGCAAGAAAAUAAAGAUAAAGAUAAAGAUAAAGAUGAAAAAAAAAGAAAGAAGCAAGAAAAUAAAGAUAAAGAUAAAGAUAAAUAUAAAGAUAAAGAUAAAGAUAAAGAUAAAGAUAAAGAUAAAGAUAAAGAUAAAGAUAAAGAUAGAGAUAGAGAUAGAGAUAGAGAUAGAGAUAGAGAUAGAGAUAUAGAUAGAGAUAAAGAUAGAGAUAAAGA